ACCUUUGGUGAUUAAGCUUAAAUGAUCGGCCGUGUUGUUUCAUAAAGCUAGGUUACCAAAGCU
rnacentral:pre_miRNA from 1 species